UACGAAGGGGGGCUAGCGUUGUUCGGAAUUACUGGGCGUAAAGCGCACGUAGGCGGACUAUUAAGUCAGGGGUGAAAUCCCGGGGCUCAACCCCGGAACUGCCUUUGAUACUGGUAGUCUCGAGUCCGGAAGAGGUGAGUGGAAUUCCGAGUGUAGAGGUGAAAUUCGUAGAUAUUCGGAGGAACACCAGUGGCGAAGGCGGCUCACUGGUCCGGUACUGACGCUGAGGUGCGAAAGCGUGGGGAGCAAAC
rnacentral:rRNA from 1 species